CCUUGUGAUGCUAGCUUGUAUGUGAGUGUGUUUAUUUUGGUUGAAACGAAGGGCAAAGUUGAUUUGUGUGACAAUGAUUGUAGAGUAAAAGACAUUAAUGAGCUUGAGUUAAAGGUGAAAAAAGAUUUCAUGCAUUAAAAAAACAUUUUAUCAUGUUUGUUGAUCCCUCAUAAAGCUUUUGCAUUUAUCUUGCACUAGUACAGUAAAAGGGAACGACAACGAUUAUUUUCUUUUAUCCGCAGCGGCUCCGCAAUCGAGGUAUAUACAUAUGAGGCCCGGCUAGCGAUGGCGUCCUUUACCUACAACUCAUAAAGCUUUUGCAUUUAUCUUGCACUAGUACAGUAAAAGGAAACGACAACGAUUAUUUUCUUUUAUCCGCAGCGGCUCCGCAAUCGAGGUAUAUACAUAUGAGGUAAAAAGUCUAUCACUUUUUUCUUCGGUUGUGAACCGGGACAGUAGAGGGAGGGGUCUUAUCCCUCGGUUUGGAGUUGAACCGAGGCGGUAAAAAGAUUUUUUUUAAUAUUUUACGAAAGAAUAAAGCGAGAUAUUAGUCUUUAUUAAUAUAUGCAUCUGGUGGUCUCAUUCACGUUUUUGUAUUGGUUUAUGAUUUGGGCCCGCCUAGCGAUGGCGUCCUUUACCUACAUCUAUGUGUCUUUCUCUUUGAAUCCCAAAAGAAGAUAUCAUGAAAAUCCAAGAUUGAGUUUCCUAGUUUUACCUUUUUCAUUGCUAUUAUUUUAUGUUUGCAGCUGGA
rnacentral:sRNA from 1 species